rnacentral:lncRNA from 1 species
GGGUUAUUCAAUAAUGUUUAUUCAGUAUAGUUAUGGGGGAAAGCAACAGAAUAUAACAGUAGUUAAAACUCAGUACAUUAAAAUGAUUCAGCAAAAUACAAUAAAAUAGAGAGGCUUUUAUAAAACAUUGGAGUCUGAAAAGGCUCAAAAAUUUUCACCUCCUGUCUCUUUAAAGUUCUUUUUUUUAUCCAUUCAGAUCCCUUUUGUCAGUACUGAAGUAUCUCCCAUAGUGAGGAAGAGCAUGGGUUUUAGGAAUCUCAAACUGGACAGGCCCAAAUGGCAAAGAGUUGCAGGGAGAUUAAUUUCUUCCCUGCAUUUCAGGAAGAUGCUUAAGAUUUGGGGCCUCAUUUUCUUCUAUGGACUGCUCACUCAGAGCUCAGCCCACAGAGGAAGUCAUAAACUGGUGUCUGAAUCACAAGCAGAAAUAUCUGUUAAGGCAGAAGCAUCGGCAGGAACAGAAGCCUCAGCAAGCUUACUCUUAGAAUUGUCUACAAGUUUAAACAGUAAACUGUUAGAUACCCAUAUUUCCCACGCUCUAAAGGAUCUCUCCAUCAUGAAGGCCUUGCACUCUUUUCAAAGUGGAUUGCUUGGAAAUUUGCAUACAGAAGUGUAUCCCAAUUUUCUUGACCUGGAAAGGAUUUCUCGGAUUAAAGUUACAGCAUCCAAAAUCUCCAAUGUUAUCAUUACACGAAGUGAGAACAGAGGACAAUUAUCAGCAACAGUUCCUCUAUCUUUGGAUAUAGAAGCAAAUAUAUUGUUUCUUGGAAGUAUUUCCUUCAGAACAGAAAUGAACAGUACAUUUCAAAUUGGAACAGCAGUGGAUGAAAAUGAAGAUGGUGACCUGGUUAUUCAGAAUUGCAACAUCCAUCUUGUCAGUUCAAAAGUCAAAACCCCCAGUCGGCUGUUCAAUACUCUUCUGAAUACAUUUGCAAGAGUUCUUGGUGCUGUGGUCCCUCCACUGGUACAGGAAGAAUUCUGUUGGGCAGUCAACACAUGCUUACCAGAGUUAGAUGAUAAACUGAAAUCAGCCCUAAUUGAUACACUGCUGUGUGGACAUGAUUAUAGUUUUCAUUAAUGAAUCUUCCAGAAAGCAGACCAACUUUUUUUUUCAAAUAGAACUUCAAGGCCAGAAACAAAUUACUGUAUUUUUGUGUCAGAGGAGAUGAAAUGCUUUGCAUCUUCAAAGGUCCAUCAAGUUAUUCCUCCCCUGUUUGGAGCCUUUUUUCUUAUGUGAAAAUUGUGUCUGGGAAAUAGUCUGUUUUCCCUUUUUUCUCUUACAAUAAAUAUCCACUGUCUCAGC